rnacentral:rRNA from 1 species
AGAACGAACGCUGGCGGCAUGCCUAACACAUGCAAGUCGAACGCUCAUCUUCGGAUGGGAGUGGCGCACGGGUGAGUAACGCGUGGGAACCUGCCCCGAGGUUCGGGAUAACCGAUGGAAACGUCGGCUAAUACCGGAUACGUCCUAAGGGAGAAAGAUUUAUCGCCCUGGGAGGGGCCCGCGUCGGAUUAGCUAGUUGGUGGGGUAACGGCCUACCAAGGCGAUGAUCCGUAGCUGGUCUGAGAGGAUGAUCAGCCACACUGGGACUGAGACACGGCCCAGACUCCUACGGGAGGCAGCAGUGGGGAAUAUUGGACAAUGGGCGCAAGCCUGAUCCAGCAAUGCCGCGUGAGUGAUGAAGGCCUUAGGGUUGUAAAGCUCUUUCGGCGGGACGAUGAUGACGGUACCCGCAGAAGAAGCCCCGGCUAACUUCGUGCCAGCAGCCGC